AGUGAACGCUGGCGGUAGGCCUAACACAUGCAAGUCGAACGGCAGCACAGUAAGAGCUUGCUCUUACGGGUGGCGAGUGGCGGACGGGUGAGGAAUACAUCGGAAUCUACUUUUUCGUGGGGGAUAACGUAGGGAAACUUACGCUAAUACCGCAUACGACCUACGGGUGAAAGCAGGGGAUCUUCGGACCUUGCGCGAUUGAAUGAGCCGAUGUCGGAUUAGCUAGUUGGCGGGGUAAAGGCCCACCAAGGCGACGAUCCGUAGCUGGUCUGAGAGGAUGAUCAGCCACACUGGAACUGAGACACGGUCCAGACUCCUACGGGAGGCAGCAGUGGGGAAUAUUGGACAAUGGGCGCAAGCCUGAUCCAGCCAUACCGCGUGGGUGAAGAAGGCCUUCGGGUUGUAAAGCCCCUUUGUUGGGAAAGAAAAGCAGCAGGUUAAUACCCCGCUGUUCUGACGGUACCCAAAGAAUAAGUACCGGCUAACUUCGUG
rnacentral:rRNA from 1 species